rnacentral:misc_RNA from 1 species
GAUGAAGAACGUAGCGAAAUGCGAUAAGUAAUGUGAAUUGCAGAAUUCAGUGAAUCAUCGAAUCUUUGAACGCACAUUGCGCCCAUUAGUAUUCUAGUGGGCAUGCCUGUUCGAGCGUCAUUAAGUCCACUUAAGCCCUGCUUAGUGUUGGGAGACUGCUCCAGCGGUGCUACCCUGUAGCUACCCUGCAGCUCCUCAAAGACAGCGGCGGAUUUGUGGUAUCCUCUGAGCUUAGUAACUUGUUCUAGCUUUCGAGUACACCACUUCCCCUGCCGUAAAACCCUUAAUUUUUAAUGGUUGACCUCGGAUCAGGUAGGAAUACCCGCUGAACUUAAGCAUAUCAAUAAGCGGAGGA